rnacentral:lncRNA from 1 species
GUAUGUAUGUUCGUUACGUUAUCAUUCGAGAUGAGAGGGAGCAACAUGAAGAGACAUCGGUCAAACGGAAGGGGAUCGCUUACUGAAUUGGAGUUUUGUAAUAAGGUAAAUAAACACAUUAUUUGUUAUGAUAAAUUACACAAGGGUGCAUUUAAAUAGACUAUACAGAAAAUAUAAAAGUAUUGUUUUUAAGUAAGUCUCAGUUUACUUUUUGUUUUUUAGCAUACUUAACACUAACGUAGGUUCUUGAUUUAAAAUAAUAAUAAUAAUAAUAAUAAUAAUAAUAAUAAUAAUAAUAAUAGCUGCAAAGACAAAGCCCAAUAACAUACUGGCUCUUUUGAAACACCCCAAUUCCUUUAAAUUAAUAUGCAUACACAGUUAAAACUACAAUUUGCAUUUUGAUAUCAAUAAAUAGUUUGUACUUACACCAAUGAAAGUAAAAGAAAGUCUGAUUUUUGUAUCGAUAUUAAACAUCGGUAGUUUAUCGGCACUUGGAUGAUAAGUCAGUCAAAUUUUAUUUCAUUUCUUUUGUCAAAAUUACGUGGCUGUAUAGCAAUAAAGAAUCUGGCAGAAAACAGAUAAUAUCUCGAGUUAUCUCUCCUGAAUCGCGAACCUCUUUGAAUUUGAAAUACCAUAAUAUUCUCCAUUUAACAUAUGAAAUGUCUUUCUUUUUUCUCUACAUUGAGUCUGACAAAGUCUUUUCACCCUUUUAAGUUUUGAUUGCUUUGGUUAUAGCUGACUUUGAUCGUAGAUUAAUGUAUUAGUCCCACGCAGAAACUGAACUCUAACACUAUAAAACAAUAGCUAUCUGAAGAUUUUAAAGCAACAUAUAUUUUGAAUGUCGAUUGCUUUUCGUACCAAAUUCAGUUUGCACAUAAUUGUAAAUCUCAAACAAUAAAUUUAAAGUUUAAUUGCAAAAUUAUGUCUUUAUGCAUGCCUUUAAUACAAAUUCACAAUUACUUUUACAAACGCAUAAAAUAAUAUAGAUGAUUUAUUGGAAUGUAUUAGUUUUAGUAAAUUUUUUAUUUGUGUUGCGUAACGUAUUAAAUUUUACAGUUACAUGUAUUUAAAUAAUUAAAAGUACAAUGUAUCUUUGUCUAUUUCAGAAAAGUGCUGUAGAAGAAUAUGUGAAUAUUUGUAAGAAAAAGAUGUGUUCAACAAAACAAAAAUGCUAAGCCAGGAGAAAGUCAGCAGUGAAUGGUAAGUCAUCACACGAUAUAUAGUGUAUUACUGGGAACGACUCGUAAGCUGACAAGCGAUAUUAUCUAUCUUAUAUAAUUAUGAGUUUAUAGGGAAACAAAAACAAAAACAACACAAACCCAAAGUGUGGAAAAAAAAAAACGCAGACACAAAAUUAACAAUGAACUGGUAGCCUAAGACAAUUACAAAUGAUAGUCAUACCAGCUUAGUUUUAGUUUUUUUAAGAGAACAAAUAUUUUCCCCACUGCAUGUUUAUAACGCUUACUAUGUGGUAUGGGCUUUGCUCAUUGUUGAAGCCCGUACGGUGACAUAUAGUUAUUAACUUUGUGUCAUUUGCUCUCUUCUGGAGAGUUGUCUCAUUGGCAAUCAUACCGCAUCUUCUUUUUUAUAAUAGGCCUGUCUUACUGCAGGAUUCUCGUUGAGGUCAAUUGAGUCAUACUAUAUUAUGAUAAUUAUUUUCAAAGAAGAACAUCUGAAUGAGUCGCAUAGUAGUUCACGAUAAACUUCAAAUACACAACAUUAUUGUUAUCUUAAGUCUUAAAUGUGUCUAUCCUCAGUGGAAUUUUGUGUUUAAAGCAGACAUUAAAGUAUAAUUAUCAUAUGAUGAUGCACAUAACUAUUCAACAUCGGAAAACCAGUGACAAUGAAAUACAAAACAGAAAUUUACAUUUUCUUUCUUGUUUUACAGGUGAUUGACUUAUCAGUGGAAAAUACGGGAUUCCUCCAUCCAACCCACAUAUGCGCUAUAAACUACCUCUACUUUCAAGUGAUCAAAGAAAGUGCUAUAUGAAGAAAUUAAACAGAUUACCGAGUUAACUGAAAUAAUGAGAGAAAAGAAAUCGAAGGUACGAACAACGAAAGAUAUGGGCAAUAAAUAAAAAGAUAUGGAUAAGAAAUCGAAAGGUAUGGGAAAGAAAUCGAAAGAUAUGGGAAAGGCAUCGAAAGAUAUGGGAAAGACAAAAAUGUCGAUUUAUGUGGAAAUAAGACCAUUAAUAAGAGCAUCACUACAGUAAAGUCAGCAGACGAUAGGUAUUCAAGACACUUUAUAUGAUAUAUGUUAUUUUGUUAUCAGUUAUACAUUCGUUUCUAGUUUACAGUUGUUUUACGUUAAGUUUUUGUUGUACUAAUUUUAUUUGGAACAUUACUAAUUUUUACUAUCAGUAUAAUUUUGUUUUUGUUUUUUACAUUUUACAUUUUGAGCAUGUUUUACAAGCGUAUCUGUGAUAGUUACAUUUGACAAACGUAUUUGUAAUAUUUACAUUUUAC